UGCGGGAUCGUCUAACGGCAGGACACCACGCUCUGGACGUGGGUAUCUAGGUUCGAAUCCUAGUCCCGCAG
rnacentral:tRNA from 1 species